rnacentral:rRNA from 1 species
AGUGAACGCUGGCGGUAGGCCUAACACAUGCAAGUCGAACGGCAGCACAGUAAGAGCUUGCUCUUACGGGUGGCGAGUGGCGGACGGGUGAGGAAUACAUCGGAAUCUACUUUUUCGUGGGGGAUAACGUAGGGAAACUUACGCUAAUACCGCAUACGACCUACGGGUGAAAGCAGGGGAUCUUCGGACCUUGCGCGAUUGAAUGAGCCGAUGUCGGAUUAGCUAGUUGGCGGGGUAAAGGCCCACCAAGGCGACGAUCCGUAGCUGGUCUGAGAGGAUGAUCAGCCACGCUGGAACUGAGACACGGUCCAGACUCCUACGGGAGGCGGCAGUGGGGAAUAUUGGACAAUGGGCGCAAGCCUGAUCCAGCCAUACCGCGUGGGUGAAGAAGGCCUUCGGGUUGUAAAGCCCUUUUGUUGGGAAAGAAAAGCAGCAGGUUAAUACCCCGCUGUUCUGACGGUACCCAAAGAAUAAGCACCGGCUAACUUCGUG